rnacentral:rRNA from 1 species
AAAGUUAAACGGCCGCGGUAUCCUGACCGUGCAAAGGUAGCAUAAUCACUUGUUCCUUAAUUAGGGACUAGCAUGAAUGGCUAAACGAGGGUUCAACUGUCUCUUAUUCUCAAUCAGUGAAAUUGACCUUCCAGUGAAGAGGCUGGAAUAAAGAAAUAAGACGAGAAGACCCUAUGGAGCUUGAAUUAACUAGCUUAAUUAAUACAAUUUAACCUAGUGGGAUAACAAAAAAAAAGUAAGCUAGUAAUUUCGGUUGGGGUGACCUCGGAGAAUAAAAAAUCCUCCGAAUGAUUUUAGCAUAGAUUAACAAAUCAAAGCAACAUUUAAAAUCUUAUUGACCCAAAUUUCUUUUGAUCAACGGACCAAGUUACCCUAGGGAUAACAGCGCAAUCCUAUUCAAGAGUUCAUAUCGACAAUUAGGGUUUACGACCUCGAUGUUGGAUCAGGACAUCCCAA